rnacentral:rRNA from 1 species
GACGAACCGUGCGAACGUUAUUCGGAAUCAUUGGGCGUAAAGAGCGUGUAGGCGGCCCGGUAAGUCCGCUGUAAAAGUCAAAGGCUCAACCUUUGAAUGUCAGUGGAUACUGCCGGGCUAGAGUCCGGAAGAGGCGAGUGGAACUCCUGGUGUAGCGGUGGAAUGCGCAGAUAUCAGGAAGAACACCAACGGCGAAGGCAGCUCGCUGGGACGGUACUGACGCUGAGACGCGAAAGCGUGGGGAGCAAACAGG